rnacentral:lncRNA from 1 species
GAUGAUUUACUCUACAGCCCAUUACAUGCUUCAGGUUCCCGAUACUCUCUUCUUGCUCAUCUACAUGACUACAGAUGGAAGCUAGACUUCAAUUUAUUUUUGCACUAAUAUGGCAACUAUUCAAGAUUUCCGGCAGUGGAAACUCAAGUAUUAGAGAAGUUUUGGCCUUUGUAUUCAGUCAAACAACAACACAGACUGUUAUCUAACAUUGGUUUCCCAGAAAAAUCCAGUUCUUUUUUCGUGUAGCAGGUAUGUUGUUAGUUCUAAAUCCUGUAACACAGAAAAUUACUACACAGAUGUAUGUUGCAUCUCACACCUCUGUGAGGAUCACGUGAAAAACAUGGAAAAACAAGAAAGUAUGCAGUGCUUGUUCACUAUUCCCUGGUCUUCUUUGAGUUGAUGGACAGAAUCAUUAUAUGCCUGUGCCUUAAACUGAGCGUGGAGUCAGUGCCUGGGGCUCUGAG